UCUUCUUCUUAGGUUCUGUUCUUCUUCUUAGUUUUGUUGGAAAAUCGCUCCUGUCCGGUGGUUUUGGCGGUCAGCAAUUUCAGUCAUUGCUGGCAGCAAUUUUGGCGGUCAACAAUUUCGGCUUUAUUUCCUCUCAUUCUUUUCUUGUCUUUCUUUACCAGGUGUCCAGGCGCGAGUUCAUUCUUUUCUUGGCUUUCUUUACUGGGCGUUCAAGCAAUUUUGGCGGUGAGUUGAACUGAAUCCAGAGCGCACCGCUUCAGAGUUUUGCGCGCUUCUACUUUUCCUUAUUGUUUUCUCGGUCUUGUUUCCUCUGUUUCUUUUCUUGGCCUUCUUUACCAGAUUAAUGCCUUGAGAAUGGGUCGGAAUAGAGUAUACGGAAGUUUGGAAGAGGCAAUUAAACCAGAAUUAACCAUAAAACAGGUCUUUGCAUAAUUAAUGCUUUUACAAAUAUCUUGAAAUAAUAUUUCUUACUCCAUUAAAACUUUUCCAAUCAGAAAUUAGCAGUGAGAAUCCGAGUUCUGAUAUGAGUUCAGUGUUGCAUGGAUUGGACGAUGAGUGGGGUACGGGGCUAACGAAGACAAGAGAAAUAGGGGAAUCUGUAAACCAUUUGGCCUGACUCCUCAAUGUGUUAAUUCAUUUUUUUAAUGAAGCUGUUUAGACUUCACUAAGAGACAUGAAAACUUACCGAGUGUUGUUUUGAUCGGUUAAGUAAAUUGUUAUCGCAAUACAAAGGUGAAUCUCUUUUCCAGAUUUAUUUUCUUUAGAAUUCAUCAUAUGCUAAUUUCCAUUUCAGAUUUAUUUUAUUUAUGCUUUCCCACUACUUUCUUUAUGAGACUGGGGAUUGCCAAGUUUGUCGCAUGAAUCAGGAAUAUAUUUUAUACUAAAGGCAAAACGAAGGGCUCUAGGAAAUGUCUGGUGUUUUGGCUGAGCAUCAUCCAGCGGUAGCUAAUGCCCUGAUCGUAUGAUUGUUGGGUAACGUGUUCGAUGGUGUGAGUGCAGCAAAGGGUGUAUGUUCCAGGAAGGGAAAAGGAGAAGCAAACUGUUGAGCUGGAGGUCUGCAAUCAGGGAAUGUUCAAAACCGAGUUGUGUAACAAAUGGCAAGAGACCGGGGAAUGUCCCUAUGGAGAGAACUGCCAAUUUGCUCAUGGAAUUAAGGAGCUGCGCCCUGUACUUCGCCACCCAAGGUACAAGACUGAGGUAUGCCGCAUGGAGUUGAACGGUGGACACCGAUGAUGAGGAGAAGCUUAUCAAGUCCAUGAACAUCAGGCCCCUAAAGCUACUCAAUCGUUAGGUCCAUGAUUAUAACUCCCCUAAAUGAUGUUAGACAACUGCAAAGGUCUUGGCUGGUAUGCAACAGUGUUUUUGUUCUUCAAAGUAAGCAAUUGAUUAAUAGGCAAUAAGGCUAAGGUCUACUGAUGUGAUAAUACUAACUGCUUGAUUAAAGAAAAAACUGUAUGAUCCGUAGUCAAGGAGAUUAAAAGUAACAUUUCUCGGCAGUGCACCUUUGAUGAGUUACUGUGCAUUGUUUGC